rnacentral:rRNA from 1 species
AUACGUAGGUGGCUAGCGUUAUUCGGAAUUACUGGGCGUAAAGGGUCCGUAGGGGGCCGACUAAGUCUGAUGUGAAAGGCCACAGCUUAACUGUGGGACGGCAUUGGAAACUGGCCGGCUAGAGUUGAGGAGAGGAAAGUGGAAUUCCUGGUGUAGCGGUGGAAUGCGUAGAUAUCAGGAGGAACACCAAAGGCGAAGGCAGCUUUCUGGCCUCAUACUGACCCUCAUGGACGAAAGCUAGGGGAGCAAACAGGAUUAGAUACCCGAGUAGUCC